rnacentral:rRNA from 1 species
UACGGGGGGGGCAAGCGUUGUUCGGAAUUACUGGGCGUAAAGGGCUCGUAGGCGGCCAACUAAGUCAGACGUGAAAUCCCUCGGCUUAACCGGGGAACUGCGUCUGAUACUGGAUGGCUUGAGAUUGGGAGAGGGAUGCGGAAUUCCAGGUGUAGCGGUGAAAUGCGUAGAUAUCUGGAGGAACACCGGUGGCGAAGGCGGCAUCCUGGACCAACACUGACGCUGAGACACGAAAAGCGUGGGGGAGCAAACAGG